rnacentral:pre_miRNA from 1 species
UAUCUGCCACCUGAGCGGCCCCCAGGCCUCGCUGGGCGAGUAUAUCUUAGAGAGGCUCACGCUCAAGCAUGACUAGGGGC